UACGUAGGGUACGAGCGUUGUCCGGAAUUAUUGGGCGUAAAGAGCUCGUAGGCGGCUUGUCGCGUCGGAUGUGAAAGCCCGGGGCUUAACUCCGGGUCUGCAUUCGAUACGGGCAGGCUAGAGUUCGGUAGGGGAGAUCGGAAUUCCUGGUGUAGCGGUGAAAUGCGCAGAUAUCAGGAGGAACACCGGUGGCGAAGGCGGAUCUCUGGGCCGAUACUGACGCUGAGGAGCGAAAGCGUGGGGAGCGAACAGG
rnacentral:rRNA from 1 species